GGCUACACAACUACCAAGCCUGCCUCCACAUUUAGGCCUAGGUCAUGAUAUAAAUUAGUGAUAUAUAUAUAUAGGGUACAAACAUAAUUUUAAAUGAGCCCUUUGCGUUAUCUACUUUCCUUUGAAAGGAGCAUAUUCUACUUAUAACAACUAAAUAAAGUUUCUGCUAAAUAAAUGUGCCAAACUAAGAUACAUAACAGUACAUCAACUUGUAUGAAACUGUGUAGACUAUUAUAAAUGCUGUGUGUUUGAUUCUAGUGUAAGAUGGCAUGUGCUUGGAGACGUUUCUGCAAACAGACUGUCGCCAUUAUGAUAUUACAAAAGAACAAUUAUUCUUUGCUACAGCUUUAAAAUGUACAAUAUUGUGUAUUUUGGACAUUAAAUAAAAAAGCCUUAAAACAGUAAAGAAGGGACUUAGGGUAAUACAAUAUUUACUUGAAUCUAAUAUGCACCGUGGCAAAAUGAAGUCUCCAAAAUUCGAAUGCGCAUUAGAUUUGAUUGAGCAUUAGUUUUGAGUACGAACUGCGCAUUAGAUACGACAGGCAUAUUCGCAUUCACAUCGCUGCAACAGGGAUGCGAGACUUGGUUUCUGUGUACAGUAAAGCUGUACUUUGCAUCUUUGUCGCAAUGCGAAUACCAAUUUUGCCCCCGGUCAGAGGGCGGUCCUCGCUUAUCGACUUAUAUGUUCUAUAGUAGUAUCUUCCAGUACAAAUGCGCAUUGCAUUCGCCAGCAAAAAAAUAUUUUCGGCUUCCAGGUUUCAAAUUUUGAAUGCGCAUUAGAUUCAAGUAAAUAUGAUAUAUGGUCCAUCCACACAAGGGUAAUUCACACAGAAAUUAUAUCAAACAUUUGCUGAUCAUCACUGUAGGCUAUGCGAUGUCUGUCACAAAUGAAUUCCACCCUCCUCAAAAAUAAAUUUAAAAAAAUAAAUUUUUCUAAAUAAACACGUUUCACUUCUCUUCAUUAUUACUUCCCCUCCGUCCUUACGGUAUGUAAGUAGCAUUAACUAUGAUCCUUAGUUGUUAUGGCACAGGUUUUUGGGUACAAAGUGGAACUAUUAAUACUGAAACUCAAAGUAUUUAAAGCAGCAGUUCAUAAACCCUAUAUUAUUUCCAUGGGUCUCCACUGAUUUAAGCAGGCAUACUAUAUUCAAAGGUUUCCAGGCAACUGCUCGCCAUUAAUUGGUUACUAUAGCAACAAUGCCUUCUGGCACUGAUAAAGAGACCCCUAUAUUAUUGGGGAGAGCUGAAUAAAGGUGUUUUGGGGAAUUUUUGAAAAAUUAUUUUGAAAAAUUAUUUGCUAACAUUUUUUUUUUUAAAUGUUGGUAAAUCAAAGUGAAAUCAAAAUUAAUUUUAAAAUUUAAGGCCAAAGUAGCUGAACUAGAGAAAUUCUCCAAGUCACUUUGAAUUCCUAACAUUUCUCAAUUUAGUGAAUAAGCCCCUGAAUAUUGGCUAACCCACCUUACUUUGUGUAAUUUUGUGUAAUUUGAGUCCCUGGCCAUAAAAAAUUAGGAACCUCUUGUUUUAAGCUAAUUUGAAAAGGAAGAUCUCAGCAGAGUUGGGACACAAUGACAGGUGGCACAUUUAAUGGCGCAACAAAUAAAACGUUACUAGAAAUUCAGUUUAAAAUGGCAGCGCUUGAAACGCCCAAGUGUUAAGGUCCAGCUGCUUUUAUUCAAUUUUUAUUCUUUUUAAAGAAAAAAGAUAACCCAACACAAUUUAUUUUAACUGACAAAGCCUUCAAAUUGGCUCUGUCACCUGAAAUCCCCUUAAAGAAAAUUACUGUAAAACAAUAUUCACAAUAGAUUAAUAAUACUGUUAUCUAAUCAAGCCAUAGUAAUAUUUAAUGUGACUGCAACUUUAAGAUCUGAUACAUUUGCUGUGUUUAGGCAGCCAUUUGUAAUAUGGCAUCCCAUUUUUCAAACUUUGCAUGGCACCUAAUGACUAAAGAGGAUUGGUGGUCAUGUGAUGUUAACUCUCCAUGAAAUUUAAAGGGUUACUCCAAGCACCAUAACCACUUCAGUGUUUUUAAGUGGUUAUGGUUCAAUGAACCUCCACAGAAAAAGGAUAAAGCUCCAUUUAGGUAGACCCCAUUCAGGUACCUGGUGGUAUCUUAUUGACUAAAGAGGAUUGGUGGUCAUGUGAAAAUAAGUCUCCAUGAAACUUAAAGGGCUACUCCAAGCACCAUAACCACUUCAGUGUUUUUAAGUGGUCAUGGAUCCAUGAAAAUAGCCACACUCAGGAUGAGAACAAUCCCAUCUGAUAAUUACUAAUUAUCUACCAGCACCCCAACUGUGCAAGUGAGACAAUAUAUAUA